rnacentral:rRNA from 1 species
UGGGGAAUAUUGCACAAUGGGCGCAAGCCUGAUGCAGCCAUGCCGCGUGUAUGAAGAAGGCCUUCGGGUUGUAAAGUACUUUCAGUCGGGAGGAAGGUGGUAAGGUUAAUAACCUUAUCAAUUGACGUUACCGACAGAAGAAGCACCGGCUAACUCCGUGCCAGCAGCCGCGGUAAUACGGAGGGUGCAAGCGUUUAUCGGAAUUACUGGGCGUAAAGCGCACGCAGGCGGUUGAUUGAGUCAGAUGUGAAAUCCCCGGGCUUAACCCGGGAAUUGCAUCUGAUACUGGUCAGCUAGAGUCUUGUAGAGGGGGGUAGAAUUCCAUGUGUAGCGGUGAAAUGCGUAGAGAUGUGGAGGAAUACCGGUGGCGAAGGCGGCCCCCUGGACAAAGACUGACGCUCAGGUGCGAAAGCGUGGGGAGCAAACAGG